rnacentral:rRNA from 1 species
AUUGAACGCUGGCGGCAUGCCUUACACAUGCAAGUCGAACGGUAACAGGUCUUCGGAUGCUGACGAGUGGCGAACGGGGGAGUAAUACAUCGGAACGUGCCCGAUCGUGGGGGAUAACGAAGCGAAAGCUUUGCUAAUACCGCAUAAGAUCUACGGAUGAAAGCAGGGGACCGCAAGGCCUUGCGCGAACGGAGCGGCCGAUGGCAGAUUAGGUUGUUGGUGGGAUAAAAGCUUACCAAGCCGACGAUCUGUAGCUGGUCUGAGAGGACGACCAGCCACACUGGGACUGAGACACGGCCCAGACUCCUACGGGAGGCAGCAGUGGGGAAUUUUGGACAAUGGGCGAAAGCCUGAUCCAGCCAUGCCGCGUGCAGGAUGAAGGCCUUCGGGUUGUAAACUGCUUUUGUACGGAACGAAAAGACUCUUUCUAAUAAAGAGGGUCCAUGACGGUACCGUAAGAAUAAGCACCGGCUAACUACGUGCCAGCCGCCGCGGUAAAAC